UACGUAGGGUGCAAGCGUUAAUCGGAAUUACUGGGCGUAAAGCGUGCGCAGGCGGCUUUGCAAGACAGAUGUGAAAUCCCUAGGCUCAACCUGGGAACUGCAUUCGAGACUGCAUGGCUGGAGUAUGGGAGAGGACAGCGGAAUUUCCGGUGUAGCGGUGAAAUGCGUAGAUAUUGGGAAGAACACCUGAGGCGAAGGCGGGUUGCUGGGCUGAUACUGACGCUGAGGCGCGAAAGCCAGGGGAGCAAACGGG
rnacentral:rRNA from 1 species